rnacentral:rRNA from 1 species
AUUGAACGCUGGCGGCAGGCCUAACACAUGCAAGUCGAGCGGAUGAAGGGAGCUUGCUCCUGGAUUCAGCGGCGGACGGGUGAGUAAUGCCUAGGAAUCUGACUGGUAGUGGGGGCUAACGUCCGGAAACGGGCGCUAAUACCGCAUACGUCCUGAGGGAGAAAGUGAGGGAUCUUCGGACAUCACGCUAUCAGAUGAGCCUAGGUCGGAUUAGCUAGUUGGUGGGGUAAAGGCCUACCAAGGCGACGAUCCGUAACUGGUCUGAGAGGAUGAUCAGUCACACUGGAACUGAGACACGGUCCAGACUCCUACGGGAGGCAGCAGUAGGGAAUAUUGGACAAUGGGCGAAAGCCUGAUCCAGCCACGCCGCGUGUGUGAAGAAGGUCUUCGGAUUGUAAAGCACUUUAAGUUGGGAAGAAGGGCAGUAAGUUAAUACCUUGCUGUUUUGACGUUACCAACAGAAUAAGCACCGGCUAACUUCGUG